rnacentral:rRNA from 1 species
GUUAGGAAUUUUGGACAAUGGGCGAAAGCCUGAUCCAGCAAUGCCGCGUGUGUGAAGAAGGCCUUCGGGUUGUAAAGCACUUUUGUCCGGAAAGAAAUCCUUUGGGUUAAUACCUCGGAGGGAUGACGGUACCGGAAGAAUAAGGACCGGCUAACUACGUGCCAGCAGCCGCGGUAAUACGUAGGGUCCGAGCGUUAAUCGGAAUUACUGGGCGUAAAGCGUGCGCAGGCGGUUUUGUAAGACAGAUGUGAAAUCCCCGGGCUUAACCUGGGAAUUGCAUUUGUGACUGCAAGGCUAGAGUGUGUCAGAGGGGGGUAGAAUUCCACGUGUAGCAGUGAAAUGCGUAGAGAUGUGGAGGAAUACCGAUGGCGAAGGCAGCCCCCUGGGAUAACACUGACGCUCAUGCACGAAAGCGUGGGGAGCAAACAGGAUUAGAAACCCUGGUAGUCC